rnacentral:rRNA from 1 species
UACGAAGGGGGCUAGCGUUGCUCGGAAUUACUGGGCGUAAAGGGCGCGUAGGCGGAUCGUUCAGUUGGGGGUGAAAGCCCGGGGCUCAACCUCGGAACUGCCUUCAAUACUGGCUAUCUUGAGUACGGGAGAGGUGUGUGGAACUCCGAGUGUAGAGGUGAAAUUCGUAGAUAUUCGGAAGAACACCAGUGGCGAAGGCGACACACUGGCCCGUUACUGACGCUGAGGCGCGAAAGCGUGGGGAGCAAACAGG